CCUACGGGAGGCAGCAGUGAGGAAUAUUGGUCAAUGGACGAGAGCCUGAACCAGCGAAGCCGCGUGAAGGAUGACUGCCCUAUGGGUUGUAAACUUCUUCUGCAAGGGAAUAAAACGAGGCACGUGUGCCUUUUUGCAUGUACUUUAUGAAUAAGGAUCGGCUAACUCCGUGCCAGCAGCCGCGGUAAUACGGGGGACCCGAGCGUUAUCCGGAUUUAUUGGGGUUAAAGGGACCGUAGAUGGGUUGUUAAGUCAGUUGUGAAGGUUCGGGGCUAAACCGUGAAGUGGCAGUUGAUACGGGCAGUCGUAGUGCAGGUGAGGUAGGCGGAAUUCGUGGUGUAGCGGUGAAAUGCUUAGAUAUCACGAAGAACACCGAUGGCGAAGGCAGCUUACUGGACUGUGACUGACGUUGAGGCUCGAAAGUGUGGGUAGCAAACAGGAUUAGAUACCCGAGUAGUC
rnacentral:rRNA from 1 species